GGGGAAGCAAUGGUUUCGACAUGUAUUACUAGGCAUGACUGCAAGUGGUCGGCAUACCUUAAGUGCACAAUUAAAAUUAAAUGACGAAACUAAUUAUGGUUUCGCUCCUGCUUUUGCCUAAUUAAUAGGAUAAGGGAGCACUUCUAUUCAAUUUCUCUUAUAGGUUGAACUAGGGGUUAAUAAAUAUAAGAUAUAAUAUAUUAUUUGUUUAGGAUACUAUAUAGAAUUUUUACUAGACUUACUAACUAAUCGGUUAGUGUAGAGCCACUUUAGUUAGGAAAUCAAAAUCUACCUAAACUUGUAGAUGUUAUGAUAUAGGGUAUAUUGGACAGGAGUUCAAGUCUCCUCUUCUCCACCA
rnacentral:tmRNA from 1 species